rnacentral:lncRNA from 1 species
CAUAUAAUUAUCUUGAGACAUUAGAAAUAAUCUCAUCUUUCCUUUCCAAUAGUAGUAGUCUGUUCCAUCGAAGUAUGGAGGUCUAAUUGAUGAUCCUCCAUCAGGUACGAACUUUGACAUUUUCUUCUUCCUUAAUCUUUUCCUCUUACACUGUUAAGUGCUCUAACCUUGGAGGCAGAGCUCUGAUACCAAUUGAAGUUGAAGUAAAUGUCACUAGAAGGGGGGGUUGAAGAGUGACCCUUUAAAAUUUUCUCUGUACUCUUAGAGAGUUUGAGCUCUCAAUACUUUGCUUGGAGUAAGAUGAUUAGUAAAACAAUAAAUAGCAAAGCAUAAAGUAAAGAGUAGAGUUUAAGAGAGAUCACACAGAGAAGUUAUCAUGGUUCCCCCAAUAUGGAUUAGUCUAGUCCCCACAGCUUUUGUGAGAUUAUCCACUAGUUCUUAGGAGUUUCUUCCUCCUCUUUGCAAUGUGCAAAACAAUAUGUAUUCUCUAAGCCUCACCAGGCUUACACUGACUCUCGAGCUCUCGCUGAGCUUGAGGCUAAAACAACUAUGUAUUCUCUUAGCCUCACCAGGCUUACACCACUGAUAUUAUUAGCUUCAGCAAGCUUAC